UACGUAGGCAGCGAGCGUUGUUCGGAGUUACUGGGCGUAAAGGGUGUGUAGGCGGUUGUUUAAGUUUGGUGUGAAAUCUCCCGGCUCAACUGGGAGGGUGCGCCGGAAUACUGAAUGACUAGAGUGCGGGAGAGGAAAGUGGAAUUCCUGGUGUAGCGGUGAAAUGCGUAGAUAUCAGGAGGAACCCCAGAGGCGAAGGCGGCGCCCUGGCUCGCAACUGACGCUCAGACACGACAGCAUGGGGAGCGAACGGG
rnacentral:rRNA from 1 species